CCCUUAGAUGUCCUGGGCCGCACGCGCGUUACACUGAUGCAUUCAACGAGCUUAUAACCUUGGCCGAGAGGCCUGGGCAAUCUUGUUAACGUGCAUCGUGAUAGGGAUAGAUUAUUGAAAUUAUUAAUCUUGAACGAGGAAUUCCUAGUAAACGCAAGUCAUCAGCUUGCAUUGAUUACGUCCCUGCCCUUUGUACACACCGCCCGUCGCACCUACCGAUUGAAUGGUCCGGUGAAAGCCUCGGACCGUGGCAGCGUUGCUUUAUUGGAGCGCCGCCGUGGGAAGUUGUUUAAACCUUACCAUUUAGAGGAAGGUGAAGUCGUAACA
rnacentral:rRNA from 1 species